GGGCGGUUAGCUCAGCUGGUUAGAGUAUCUGCUUGACAUGCAGGGGGUCGCUGGUUCGAGUCCAGUAUCGCCCACCA
rnacentral:tRNA from 1 species